rnacentral:rRNA from 1 species
UAAGGAAUAUUGGUCAAUGGACGCAAGUCUGAACCAGCCAUGCCGCGUGGAGGAUGAAGGUCCUCUGGAUUGUAAACUUCUUUUAUCUGGGACGAAACACUUCUUUUCUAAGAGGCCUGACGGUACCAGAUGAAUAAGCACCGGCUAACUCCGUGCCAGCAGCCGCGGUAAUACGGCGGGUGCAAGCGUUAUCCGGAUUCACUGGGUUUAAAGGGUGCGUAGGUGGGUAUGUAAGUCAGUGGUGAAAUCCCCGAGCUUAACUUGGGAACUGCCAUUGAUACUAUAUAUCUUGAAUACCGUAGAGGUAAGCGGAAUAUGUCAUGUAGCGGUGAAAUGCUUAGAUAUGACAUGGAACACCAAUUGCGAAGGCAGCUUACUAUGCGGUGAUUGACACUGAGGCACGAAAGCGUGGGUAGCAAACA